CCCGCUGAACUUAAGCAUAUCAAUAAGCGGAGGAAAAGAAACCAACAGGGAUUGCCUUAGUAACGGCGAGUGAAGCGGCAACAGCUCAAAUUUGAAAUCUGGCCUUUGGUCCGAGUUGUAAUUUGCAGAGGAUGCUUCGGGCGCGGUGCCUUCCAAGUCCCCUGGAACGGGGCGCCGGAGAGGGUGAGAGCCCCGUACGGUUGGCGGCCAAGCCUGUGUGAAGCUCCUUCGACGAGUCGAGUAGUUUGGGAAUGCUGCUCUAAGCGGGAGGUAGACCCCUUCUAAAGCUAAACACCGGCCAGAGACCGAUAGCGCACAAGUAGAGUGAUCGAAAGAUGAAAAGCACUUUGAAAAGAGGGUUAAACAGCACGUGAAAUUGUUGAAAGGGAAGCGCUUGUGACCAGACGUGCGCCGGGGUGUUCAGCGGGCGUUCUCGCCCGUGCACUCGCCUCGGUGCAGGCCAGCGUCGGUUUGGGUGGGGGGAUAAAGGCGUCUGGAAUGUGGCUCCUCCGGGAGUGUUAUAGCCAGACGUGCCAUGCCUCCGCCUGGACCGAGGUACGCGUUCUGCAAGGACGCUGGCGUAAUGGUCUCCAGCGACCCGUCUUGAAACACGG
rnacentral:rRNA from 1 species